rnacentral:rRNA from 1 species
UACGAAGGGGGCUAGCGUUGUCCGGAUUUAUUGGGCGUAAAGAGCGUGUAGGCGGCUAGGUAGGUCCGUUGUGAAAACUCGAGGCUCAACCUCGAGACGUCGAUGGAAACCAUCUAGCUAGAGUCCGGAAGAGGAGAGUGGAAUUCCUGGUGUAGCGGUGAAAUGCGCAGAUAUCAGGAAGAACACCCGUGGCGAAGGCGGCUCUCUGGUACGUGACUGACGCUGAGACGCGAAAGCGUGGGGAGCGAACAGG